UGACAUGAACAUUUAUAGGGGCACAUUGCUAGACUGUGGAAAGCCCAAGCUGAAAUCUUGUACCUGCUAAAUGUCUGUAACGGAGUUAAGCAACUAGACACUAUAUUUUCUUCUCAAGGCCAAAGAUGACAACUAAAGACACUGAACAUGACUGGGUCAACAUCACGUGUGAAAUGGAGCGUCAGGGAUUGAUUCCCUAUCAUUGUUAUUCAAAGGAAAAAGUGAGACUGUUCGGAACAUAAAAUUGGGAAGUUGUUAAGUAUUGUAUUCACUGAAAAA